rnacentral:tRNA from 1 species
GGGGCCAUAGCUCAGUUGGGAGAGCGCUUGAAUGGCAUUCAAGAGGUCGUCGGUUCGAUCCCGUCUGGCUCCACUA